AGAAGAAGAAGAAGAAGAAGAAGGAAAAUGACAGGUAUAUAUCCAGAGUGGAACUGCCAACUCAUAUGAUCAUGCUCCUUGGGGAAAACUAAUCCCAUCUCUAGGAAUGAUUUGUUGGUGUUGUCAUCUCUGUACUAAAAUUGCCAUCAUCAGUCUACCAGUAACCUGAGAAUAAAGCCAACAUGAAUAAUGGAAUAGUGGAGAAAUGGAACGAACCCAGAUCCUUGAUGCUGACAUCACUGAAAGGUGAACUGACUCGGUCUGGAACCCACCCUGCAUGUUUUGAUCUACUUGAUGACAGAACAAGUUGACAAAAAUAUUAAUAAAAAACAAUCAGCCUAUAAAUAUAUGAAAAGUGAAAACACAAAAAGGAUAAAGGAAAACA